rnacentral:rRNA from 1 species
CUACUCUUGACAUCCAGAGUACUAUGGAGAGAUACAUAGGUGCCUUUAGGAACUCUGAGACAGGUGCUGCAUGGCUGUCGUCAGCUCGUGUUGUGAAAUGUUGGGUUAAGUCCCGCAACGAGCGCAACCCUUAUCCUUUGUUACCAGCGAUUUGGUCGGGAACUCAAAGGAAACUGCCGGUGAUAAACUGGAGGAAGGUGGGGAUGACGUCAAGUCAUCAUGGCCCUUACGAGUAGGGCUACACACGUGCUACAAUGGCGCAUACAAAGAGAAGCAAUCUCGCGAGAGUUAGCAAACCUCAUAAAGUGUGUCGUAGUCCGGAUUGGAGUCUGCAACUCGACUCCAUGAAGUCGGAAUCGCUAGUAAUCGUGGAUCAGAAUGCCACGGUGAAUA